GACGAACGCUGGCGGCGUGCUUAACACAUGCAAGUCGAACGGAAAGGCCCUGCUUUUGUGGGGUGCUCGAGUGGCGAACGGGUGAGUAACACGUGAGUAACCUGCCCUUUACUUUGGGAUAACUUCAGGAAACUGGGGCUAAUACCGGAUAGGAGCUCCUGCUGCAUGGUGGGGGUUGGAAAGUUUCGGCGGUUGGGUAUGGACUCGCGGCUUAUCAGCUUGUUGGUGGGGUAGUGGCUUACCAAGGCUUUGACGGGUAGCCGGCCUGUGAGGGUGAGCGGCCACAUUGGGCUGGAGAUGAGGCCCAGACUCCUACGGGAGGCGGCAGAGCGGAAUAUUGCACAAUGGGCGGAAGCCUGGUGCAGCGACGCCGCGUGCGGGAUAACGGCCUUCGGGUUGGAAACCGCUUUCGCCUGUGACGAAGCGUGAGUGACGGUAAUGGGUAAAGAAGCACCGGCUAACUACGUG
rnacentral:rRNA from 1 species